rnacentral:lncRNA from 1 species
CCUAAAAGGCCAGAUUUAUAUCAAGUAUUGGGUGUGCUUUGGCAAGUGGCUUGUGAAAUUAAGUUUCUGCACAUGGAGCCUUGGUCGUCAUUUAGUGUGCAUGCCGAAAAUGGGCACUUGGAAAAGUCAAAGCACUCGUUCCCUGAGUACGGUUGACCCCAUUAAUAUACUAAGGCAGAUAAGGAAAAGACCUGGAGACACGGCUGCUAAAAUGUAUCCUCACGACUUCAAAAGACUUUUUGAAACUAUAGAACGUUCAGAAGACUCUGUCUUUAAAUGGAUCUAUGACUACUGCUCGGACGACAGUGAGCUCUAGGGAAAACGUCUACAAGCCAUGAAUGAGCUGUUUGUCUAUUAAUUUUGAAAUUAUGUGAUGAAUGAAAACUGAAUUUCAAGAUGUUCAUAUCCUUUUAGCAGAAGAGAAACUAUCCUUGUUUGGCACAGAUGAAGCGAAUAAUUUCCUCUUAAGUUGAUACCUUUGAUACACAGGAAAAACCAUGGCUGCAGGUUUAUUCAAAGUUAAAUAAAACAAAAACUUGUCAGUUC